GGAAUAUUGGACAAUGGGGGGAACCCUGAUCCAGCCAUGCCGCGUGUGUGAAGAAGGCCUUUUGGUUGUAAAGCACUUUAAGCGAGGAGGAGGCUACCGAGAUUAAUACUCUUGGAUAGUGGACGUUACUCGCAGAAUAAGCACCGGCUAACUCUGUGCCAGCAGCCGCGGUAAUACAGAGGGUGCAAGCGUUAAUCGGAUUUACUGGGCGUAAAGCGCGCGUAGGUGGCCAAUUAAGUCAAAUGUGAAAUCCCCGAGCUUAACUUGGGAAUUGCAUUCGAUACUGGUUGGCUAGAGUAUGGGAGAGGAUGGUAGAAUUCCAGGUGUAGCGGUGAAAUGCGUAGAGAUCUGGAGGAAUACCGAUGGCGAAGGCAGCCAUCUGGCCUAAUACUGACACUGAGGUGCGAAAGCAUGGGGAGCAAACA
rnacentral:rRNA from 1 species